CCUUUUCAAACAACAAGGGCCGGGAAGGGAGAGGGGAGGGGAGGGGACGGCGGCCUCCCAGAGGGAUCCUGGGAGCUGUAGGCGGCGGGGACUGCGGCGGCGCGGCCGGCGGGGACGGCGCGGGGAGGGGACGGGCCCGCCGUUUGCCCGGCGGAAGAGAAAAAGGGGGUGAGGGACGGACCCCGACCCGCCGCUCCGAACCCCCCCGGCCGCGGGGCGGGGAGGGAGAGUGGGCUGGUUUCUCUUCGGUUCCGAUGAACGGGGCUGCGAAGCGGGUGGCGAUUUGAAUAACAGAUUACUUAACUGCAGGCUUCUGGCAUGGGACUGGUGUGGUGGUGGUUAGUACCGGUGCUCUUCCACUGCAGAGAAAUAGUCCCCCUAGUGUGCCGUUGUUGAAGGGAGCACUGCGAUGCUGCGAUUCCUCAAGGGCCAGUCCUGGAGGAAAAAGGAUUUUCUUUGCCUUGCCAGUGUAUCAGCGAUGGCCUAAAAAGCUGCAGAGCUCUCAUUGUGCCCACUAGGAUCAAUCUCGCGCUUUUGCUUUGCAAACAGCCAGUGUUCGUGAGGAAUUGCCACCUUAUUUUUCAAACAAGGUUCCCUUGCUUCAGACCCUCUUUUUGUUUUUUUUUUUUACUAGCAGCGAGAAAUCAACGGCCCUCAGCCGUUUUGCAGCCGGUUGGAUUACUGAGGGCUUUUUUUCCCCAUUUUUAAAAAGGAGCUUGCAAUUGGCAGCUGCCAGCGGCCAAGAAGAUGAUGUGCCCAGCAGAGCAGCUAGAGAAGGGAGCUCAGAAGGGAUCCAUCCUCACUGCCUACAACACCGAAACCACUUCAGACCCAGCUACCGCACUGUUGCACGUGUUGCCGUUUUAGCAAUCCCGCAUAGCCAUUGCCAUUCAAAACAGUACCCCUUUUGUGAUCGCAUACCGCAACCAACCAGGCAGUACACAAAACGCUGAAUAAAAUGCACUUCGCCCAGCAAGGUGACGCCAUGCCCUGCUAUGUGACGACUACAAGCACGAUCAUGGUGCUUGUGCCACCUUCCAGCUCGCUGCGCUGGAGAUUGGGCUCCUCCGGCAGUGGUUUUGUCUCAGUUACCACCUCCCCUUCCACGAGCACGUGCAAGACGCCUUGAUUCCUCCAUUGACUUUGUGUUCUUCCGCGAGUGUGUUCCAAAGUGUUUUAAAUGGGUUCUCCAAAAUUUUGGAGGAGACUAUUUAUGUAUCUCGCCAGAUAAAGGAGGUCAUGUGGAAAUCCAUUUGCCUCCGGUUUGCCUGCCAAGCCGCCUUGACAAAGGAAACAGGAGCUGAUAGAAGAGGAGAUUAAAUUCAAAUGGGUUUGUUUUUAAAAAUAUAAGUGACACUAAUUUCUCAUGCAAAUAGCUUAGAAAUUCUGGACACGCAUAAUAAGACAGUGCUUACUACAGCUCCCAACUUUUUAUUAUAUUUUGAAAACCUAUGCAUUCCCCUGUACUUUCACAUUGCAGUCACAGUCAGCUGUGGCUCCUGAUAGUGAUCCCUAAACUCUUCUAUGUCCUUUGCUUACAUUUGAAGACAAACGUUGUGCUUCAUUAUGACACAAGAGACUUAACACUCUAAUAAAAAACCUAAUAAAAAUUAAUUUAACAAAAAAUUUUGCAUAUCAAACUAUAUCCCAAUCCAUCUUUAAGUAUUUACGCAACAAUGAAUCAGUGCAAAGAGACAGAUUCUUUUAAGCUUGAAAAAGCUGCAUUUAGACAUUUGUUUUCAUCUCAGAUAUUUCCCUUUUGAUUUCAAAAUUAUUCCCAGGUAAAUCUAAUCUACAGAGUUAUUUUGGUCAGUUCGUGGAUGAUGUUAUCUACUGUUUCUUUCAGAUUGUAGUUAUUUAGAUUAUUUGGCAAAGAGAUUGAGGAAAGUAAUACAAACCAGGCAUAAUUAAAUGAGAUGACUGUAUGUCCACACACUUUAGGGUUGUUUACUGGUUGUUAAGCUACCUCUUGCCUCUUUUCCAUUAUUCCUUUUAAUAUUGAUGUAGGCAAAUAAAGGCAAGGGUAUACUGCAGAACUCGUACAAAAAAGGACCAGUUUUCAGUUCUGCGUUGGUGUAAUACAUUGAGAGUUCCUUUGUGAUUUUUGUAGAAAACUCUCUGUCCCACUUCUGGAGUGGAAAUUCACUAGUAAAUGUUUGUCCUCUGUUUUUUUGCCAGGGGAUCAGUUGACUACCUUACUUAAUGCAAGGGAAUUUCCCUUUUCUUUCUAGACUAGGCAAGGAAGAAGGAGCAGGCUGGCUGGUUGGCCAGCCAUGCAGAAACUUCCUCAGGUCUCUGCUGUUCAAAAAUUAACCAGCAAGAUUUUCCCUCCAUAGGGACAAUACCUUUGCACCUAUCCUCAUGUACUGAAAAUGCGUGGACUUUUUCUAUCAUAGGAAGCAUUUUACAAGUUCAGCACAAUGGAAACUUAACAGUUCAGACAUGUUUGGUUUGGUCUUGUCAUAGAAAUAAGAAUUACUGUAGAGAUGACCAUGUUUUCAGGAGAAAAACUAACGCGUGGUCAUAUAAGAGACCAAGACUCCAAUGCUAUGCAUAGUCAAGAAAGCAUCACCCAAGCUGUUUGGCUGAGCAUGGUUUGUCCUUAAAAAACACAAGGUGGAAGAUGUCUUGAACACCUCCCAAAAGAUAAAUUUAUUGCAGCGUAGAAUACCGGUGAGCAAGUAAAGGCUAAGAGGCAGCAAAUAUGAGGACAUUGCAGGCUGGUGGUUUCUGUUACAGCAUAAAAAAGCAAGCUCCAGUCAGAGAAUAUUUUGGUUAGAGAGCCUUUUCACACAACAAUUUCAAUAAUUCAGCUUACAAUGCAAGUAUAAUAAUAAGUUAUGUCAACUAGAUAUUCUGCUUUUUCUUACCUACCUUUGUUCUAAUCUCCACACUUAAGCCCUUGCAACUGGUAUUUUGAAAACAAAGUAGGGAAAUCAAAAGAUUACCUAGAAGUAUCUGAAGAAAGAAGGAAACAUGUCUGAAUGCCAGGCAGGGUUAAGAUGUGUUUAGCUGAAGCUCCUGUCUCCCCCUAACAGAUUAAUCCAAGAACUACGCUG